AUACGUAGGGUGCAAGCGUUAAUCGGAAUUACUGGGCGUAAAGCGUGCGCAGGCGGUUUUUUAAGACAGUGGUGAAAUCCCCGGGCUCAACCUGGGAACCGCCAUUGUGACUGCAAGGCUGGAGUGCGGCAGAGGGGGAUGGAAUUCCGCGUGUAGCAGUGAAAUGCGUAGAUAUGCGGAGGAACACCGAGGGCGAAGGCAAUCCCCAGGGCCUGUACUAACGCGCAUACACGAAAGCGCUGGGAGGAAACAGGAUUAGAUACCCAGGUAGUCCACGCCCUAAACGAUUUCCACUGGUUGAUGGGUCUUCAGUGUCUCAGUAACUAAAGUAACGCGUGAAGUUGGCCGCCUGGGGCGUACGGCCGCAAGGUGGAGACUUAAAGGAAUUGGAGGGU
rnacentral:rRNA from 1 species